CCCUGGUUAGCUCAGUUGGUAGAGAGCUCCGCUGGAGAUGGAGAGGUCCCGGGUUCGAUACCCGGACCAGGCG
rfam:Ixodes scapularis strain Wikel colony gcontig_1107728717270, whole genome shotgun sequence.